GGGGUUGGCUUCUGUGACUCUGUCGUUGUUUUCUAUUCUAAAUGGAAAUUGAGGAUAUAAAAUAAUGGUAGAUGAAGCAGAUCCCAAACAAACUAUCCCCAAUCACACACAUUUCCUGAUGAUAAAACCCAUGUAGCUGUUUCACAAGAGAGACCCUAAACCUACUUUGACUUCCUCGCCGAGAGCAACCAUUCACCCUUCUAACCAACGCCUUUGAAUUCUUUCUUUAAUUAUCAAGCAAUUCCAUCUCCUUUGUUGAGGAGAUCGCAGAAUCCCCAGGAGGGAAAAACUUUUGUUUUGGUUGUGUCCCUCAGCAAAUUCUGGCCUUUACUCCUAGUUAUGAUUUCAAGCACACCCAACAUCUUAUCAGCCUUAAAAACCCUCAAGUUUCGAUAUCAGUGACUUCUCCGCUGAAAAUUGAACAAACCCAGAUAGCUUUUUGGGGUUUCAAGAACACCCGGUUAGCGAUAUCUGAUUUGGUGUUUUAGGGAGCAUCCGAGAGUGAGUUUUCUGAUCUGGGUUUGUGGAUAUGAAUUUCAGAAGCAUGGAAGAGUUCUGGCCUUUCUAUGUCAAUCAGCACUCAAAGCCAGCCACAAGGCGUUGGCAUUUCGUGGGCACACUUACUGGCAUCUUCUUGUUGUUUUACUCGGUCUUCUUCAAUUGGUGGUGUGUGUUCCUCGUGCCCUUGUUUGGUUAUGGCUUCGCCUGGUACAGUCAUUUCUUCGUGGAAGGAAACGUCCCCGCCACAUUUGGGCAUCCAAUUUGGUCUCUUCUAUGUGAUUUCAAGAUGUUCGGUUUGAUGCUUACUGGCCAAAUGGAUAAAGAGAUCAAAAGACUUGGAAAGAGGCCCGUCUUGCAAGUGUUUUGAUUCUUAUUAUAAUUCUGAUUGAUGCACCCAGAAAACUUAAAUUGCAGCUGGAAUCUGAGAAUGGGUGAACUUUUUAGCAUCACGCUUUGAAGGAUGAGUACCUGGUACUAGAACACCUAAUAUAUAAACAUCCUAACCAGGUGAAGAUUGACCAUCUGCCGACGCACUUCCACUGUCACUUCGUUUUGUAAUAUAUGAGCUUGCUCUACCCACAGGCCACAAGAAGGGCAGAUGAUACCAUGCAGAUAUUUUCCCAGCUGUCGCCUUGGUGGGAAACUGAAUGACGGCAAACGAUAGGAUUAAAAGGAGACUGUACGCUUUUCAAAACUAUAACACAGGCCAGUUGCGACAACAAUUGCAAAUAAAGGAGAAAAGGAUGUUAAACGUGGGCUUUUCUUCAAACAGAACAAGCUUCUGCAAUGAAAAUGAAAAGAAUGGGGCAGGACAAUAAUUUGGAUUUGUUUGCAUCUAGGAAGCAAAUUCAAACUGUUAUCAAGUAGACCAAAACUCUUGGAAACCACUGGCAGUUGAAAUUUUCGAUCAUGAAAUGAUUUUCAAUCAGACAAAUGAGUUUAAUCCAGCUCAAUUAAUUUUUCUUCUAA